rnacentral:rRNA from 1 species
AUUGAACGCUGGCGGAAUGCUUUACACAUGCAAGUCGAACGGCAGCACGGACUUCGGUCUGGUGGCGAGUGGCGAACGGGUGAGUAAUACAUCGGAACGUGCCCAGUCGUGGGGGAUAACGUAGCGAAAGCUACGCUAAUACCGCAUACGAUCUACGGAUGAAAGCGGGGGAUCGCAAGACCUCGCGCGAUUGGAGCGGCCGAUGGCAGAUUAGGUAGUUGGUGGGGUAAAGGCUCACCAAGCCGACGAUCUGUAGCUGGUCUGAGAGGACGACCAGCCACACUGGGACUGAGACACGGCCCAGACUCCUACGGGAGGCAGCAGUGGGGAAUUUUGGACAAUGGGCGCAAGCCUGAUCCAGCCAUUCCGCGUGCAGGAUGAAGGCCCUCGGGUUGUAAACUGCUUUUGUACAGAACGAAAAGGCUCUGGUUAAUACCUGGGGCUCAUGACGGUACUGUAAGAAUAAGCACCGGCUAACUACGUGCCAGCCGCCGCCGUAA